ACCACUCUAGAGAAGCUUUCGGCUACAUUGUUGAAAGACACUUUGGAGAUAUGGAAUAAUAUUCCCAAGUCAAAAGAUAACCAGGACGCUGCAUUUGACGAUUACUUCGUUCUUGAUGUGGUGGGACUAUCUCAUUAUGAGUUUGCAUAUGAUAAAUUCAUGGAAGAUGUGGCCAAACUAAGGAAGCGAUUCUCUCAUCCGUCUGAAGCAUCCUUACAAACUAAACCUUUAGUUCCCGCCAUGGACUUUGUUAGGAGCACAUCCGAGAUAUGGGAUAGAGU